GGAGGCAGCAGUGGGGAAUAUUGCACAAUGGGCGAAAGCCUGAUGCAGCAACGCCGCGUGCGGGAUGACGGCCUUCGGGUUGUAAACCGCUUUCAGUAGGGACGAAGCUAACGUGACGGUACCUACAGAAGAAGCACCGGCCAACUACGUGCCAGCAGCCGCGGUGAUACGUAGGGUGCGAGCGUUGUCCGGAAUUAUUGGGCGUAAAGGGAUUGUAGGCGGUCCGUCGCGUCGGAAGUGAAAACUCAGGGCUUAACCCUGAGCCUGCUUCCGAUACGGGCGGACUAGAGGUAUGCAGGGGAGAACGGAAUUCCUGGUGGAGCGGUGGAAUGCGCAGAUAUCAGGAGGAACACCGGUGGCGAAGGCGGUUCUCUGGGCAUUACCUGACGCUGAGAAUCGAAAGCGUGGGGAGCAAACAGGCUUAGAUACCCUGGUAGUCCACGCCGUAAACGGUGGGCACUAGGUGUGGGGGACAUUCCACGUUCUCCGUGCCGAAGCUAACGCAUUAAGUGCCCCGCCUGGGGAGUACGGCCGCAAGGCUAAAACUCAAAGGAAUUGACGGGGGCCCGCACAAGCGGCGGAGCAUGCGGAUUAAUUCGAUGCAACGCGAAGAACCUUACCUGGGUUUGACAUAUGCCGGAAAGCUGCAGAGAUGUA
rnacentral:rRNA from 1 species